UCCUGAUUAGAAGCUGCAAAUGGUAAUUCACUUCUCCUAGGGUGUGAAUUACAGUUAACUUGUAGGAACAGAUCACAGUCUUUAUAAUGCAGUACGUAAAACAAUUUUUGUUCACGUUUAUUUUUUUGAGAGAGAGAGAGAGAGAGAGACAGAGAGACAGAGCAGGAAUGGGGUAGAAGCAGAGAGACAGGGAGACACAGAAUCCGAAGCAGGCUCCAGGCUAGACGCGGGGCCGAACUCACGCGAGAUCACGCGAGAUCAUGACCUGAGCCGGAGUCGGCCGCUUAACCGACUGAGCCACCCAGGCGCCGCUAUGAUGUACUAUUUUAAUGUGCUUCUUUCUGAGAACCACGGAGCCUAGGGGCAGAAGGGAUCCUUAAAAUCAGCCAGCCCAGGGUCUCCGGGAGCCAGGCUGAUAUGAUACGUGGGUGGACCAGCCCACACAGGACGAGAGAGGACGGUGACAAAGCUGUCAGCGUCGCCAGUUAGAGCGAGCUCAGUUCAACUAUGUAAAAACAAGACCAGCCGGUGACGUGGACUGCUGCCCAAACUGUUUUGCACUUGAUUCCUCCUCCCCAGCAUCUCCGUAGGUGCUAUCAGCUUCCAUUCCUCAAAAAGCAGUGCCGUGUGUUUGGGGGCCUCUUUGCCCACAGGCCAUCCCCCCAGAGAGCGCUGGGCUGGAGGGAACAGCUUCCUGUUCUCCCCACCCCCACCAGACUCUGGCCUGAAGUUUGGGUGAGGCUGGCCAGUGAGAUACCCUGCUGCUUCUUGGGCACCUGUUUGCUUUCCAACCUGUACCUCCCGGGAGAUUUUUCCAGGCAGAUAUCGAGGAAUUUGCUCCAUCGUUUUGGAGGACCAUCGGUUGCAGCUCAGCUGUAUAAAUCAUCCACGUCCCCUCAUUAGACUUGCUGAGGAAGGGGAAGGAGUGGUGAGUCAAGCUUCCGAGCCGUGAUGGAGAGUGGUGGAGAGAGCUCCAGUCUUCCCUCGUGCUAACAGCAUCACCCUCCCGGAUCACCCGAGGCUUCUCAGAGGACGGCUGAAUCAUCCUGACCUUUAGAGAUGCUCCCGCCCCCGCCUCCCUAGGCUCUGCUCACCUCAAAGGCGCUGGCAUUUUCUCAGGGUGAGGUGAUGCUUGCAUGAGCAGAGGCCAGAAGAGGAAACGUAGCUGGAGAAAACCAGUGUGGAAAUGCCAGUCUGCUCUUUCUGGAACCCGACAGCCAGAGCAAGGUGCCAUAUGGCUUCAAAUUCCAGAUUCACUUGUAAAGUAACCCCUGUGUGCCCUCUGUGGUGGGGAGGGGAGGGACCAGCUGUGGUCCUGUCCUGGCCAGCAUCACUAUCACUGUCCUCACCAUCACCAUCACUGUCAUUGUCACUGUUAUCGUUAUUAUCGCCAUCACAUCAUCACCAUCGCCAUAACCCUCACCCUCACCCUCACCAUCACACCAUUAACAUCACUACCAUCACCAUGGCCAUCAUCAUUGUCAUUGUCAAUGUUGUUAUAGCCCUGAUGGAUAAUAAAUAAUAAGUAUUUAUCGAA